rnacentral:rRNA from 1 species
UACGAAGGGGGGCUAGCGUUGCUCGGAAUCACUGGGCGUAAAGCGCACGUAGGCGGCUUCUUAAGUCAGGGGUGAAAUCCUGGAGCUCAACUCCAGAACUGCCUUCGAUACUGGAGUCUGAGUCCGGGAGAGGUGAGUGGAACUGCGAGUGUAGAGGUGAAAUUCGUAGAUAUUCGCAAGAACACCAGUGGCGAAGGCGGCUCACUGGCCCGGUACUGACGCUGAGGUGCGAAAGCGUGGGGAGCAACA